rnacentral:rRNA from 1 species
UGGUGCCUACGGGGCGCAGCAGUGGGGGAUAUUGCACAAUGGGGGGAACCCUGAUACAGCGACGCCGCGUGGGUGAAGAAGCGCCUCGGCGCGUAAAGCCCUGUCAGCAGGGAAGAAAAUGACGGUACCUGAAGAAGAAGCCCCGGCUAACUACGUGCCAGCAGCCGCGGUAAUACGUAGGGGGCAAGCGUUAUCCGGAUUUACUGGGUGUAAAGGGGGCGCAGACGGCGAUGCAAGCCAGGAGUGAAAGCCCGGGGCCCAACCCCGGGACUGCUCUUGGCACUGCGUGGCUGGAGGGCCGGAGG